GUAGCCUCGACCUGGGAUCAAGCAAUCCUCCCACCUCAGCCUCCCGAGGAGCUGGGCCUACAGGAGUCAGAGCCUGACAAAGUGAAGAGAUGAUGCCGUGACUAGGAGGGUGGCUGGAGAGUCCCCCAUCACUGCUAGUAUGGGAACGAUGAUGGUUUGCAGAGAGGAGGUGUGGAUAGAAGGGCCAUCAGAAAAGAGGAGGGAAGAGCUGGAGCUGUGAAGAAAGAUGAGAUCACUGAGAGCUGCUGACUCCCAAAGAAUCAGAAGGAGGCCCUGCUCUGAGGCUUGUGGGUGAGCCUGGUGACCCUCCUUUCUUCUGAAGUGUCAUGCCUUCUCAUUUUUACGUAGUUGUGGCUACUCUUUGGGGAAAGUGUGGCUUCUUUUCUCUUUCUGCACAGAAGCAAUGCGAGGUUAUAGACUCUGGAAUAUAACCAGAAUAUGGACUCUGGAAUAUGGCCAGAAGGAGCCACGAGAAGGGUAGGGGAAAUGUCUGUUUUACAGAAGAGGACCCUGAAUCUUAGGCAGCUUGCCGAGGCCACAGAGCUCACAGGGGAAUUUAGUUUAUUGCCUUCCAGCUUGGAAUUCUUUGUUACACAAGUGUUGAGGCUCAGAAAAUAAUGCCCCAAAUGUGGCAUUUGACGAGCUGAACUAAAGCAGCAGCCUCAAGCUCUCUCUCUUGACUUUCCCCCACCAUGGUGUCUUUCUAACUCUUUCUUUUCUUUCUUUUUUUUUUUUUUUUGACACUCUUCUAAAGCACCAGGAGCAUGCUGUCUCUCUGACCCUUUUCCUUUCCUUUUUCUUGGACCCUUUCUUUUUCUAAAGCACCAGGAGGAUCUCUUUCUCUGGAAGUUCCCUUACCUGAUUGAGAAAACUUCUUCUAAAAUAAAUGCAGUUGUCUUAAAGCCCCCUCCCUAUGAAUCUCAUUAAAUAACCAGGAAUGAUUAAUCACCCAAGAAAAGACUAAAAAAGAAGCUACAGCCAGGAUACCAUACCAGACAGACUUUUUAUCUUUUCUUCUGAGGGCAGUUCCAAGAGAUAACCUGGGAGACUGUAUCCACAUAAUAAGACAAUCUUGGUUCACAGUGCAGUACCACCCCUCACCUUUCAUGACUUGUCCACAAGCUAUUGUUUGUCCUUCAGUCCCAUUCAGCAUCCAAAGAAAACCAUUUACAAACCACUGUCAGGUCUUUGGGUCCAUUCAUUUACAGCCCCCACUUCCCUUUCCCCAGUGAAGAGAGUACUUAAGUGCCAACCAUUGGGCCUUUCUGUGUAUGUUCAUAUUUUUUAUAUGGCUCCCCUGCUUCAUGCAUGUUAAUAAAUUUGUUAUAUUUUUCUCCUGUUAACCUGUCUUUUAUUAUAAGAGUAUUGGCUAUGACCCUUAAUAGGAUGGAAGAAAGAGAUCACCCAUUUCCACUCUUGCACCAGGCUACUCCUAACCACACUCUCAGAAACACAUUCUCAUGACCAGGUGCAGUGGCUCACACCUGUAAUCCCAGCACUUCGGGAGACCAAGAUGGAUGGAUCACUUGAGCCCAGGAGUUCAAGACCAGCCUGGGCAACAUAGUGAGACCCCAUCUCUAAAAAUGGAAGAAGGAGGAAAAAAACACUCUCAAAAAAUAACUCUGAAAUUACUUUCUGUAGUGGGCAUGUGCCCUGACCCCAUGUCAGUGCUUACGGUUGGCAGAUCAGCUUUCUUUGGCUGACAUUUGUGCAGUUACACAUACUUCUACAGAUUGGAAAUUACAGGCUGGGUGCGGUGGCUCAUGCCUGUAAUCCCAGUACUUUGGGAGGCAGAGGUGGGCAGAUCACUUGAGGUCAGGAGUUCCAGACAAGGCUGGC